rnacentral:rRNA from 1 species
GAGCGGCGAACGGGUGAGUAACACGCNGAGUAACCUGCCCCUGACUCUGGGAUAAGCCCGGGAAACUGGGUCUAAUACCGGAUAUGACACAUGACGGCAUCGUUGGUGUGUGGAAAGUUUUUCGGUUGGGCGAUGGACUCGCGGCCUAUCAGCUUGUUGGUGGGGUAAUGGCCUACCAAGGCGACGACGGGUAGCCGGCCUGAGAGGGCGACCGGCCACACUGGGACUGAGACACGGCCCAGACUCCUACGGGAGGCAGCAGUGGGGAAUAUUGCGCAAUGGGCGAAAGCCUGACGCAGCGACGCCGCGUGGGGGAUGACGGCCUUCGGGUUGUAAACCUCUUUCAGCAGGGACGAAGUUGACGUGUACCUGCAGAAGAAGCGCCGGCUAACUACGUGCCAGCAGCCGCGGUAAUACGUAGGGCGCAAGCGUUGUCCGGAAUUAUUGGGCGUAAAGAGCUCGUAGGUGGCUUGUCACGUCGGGUGUGAAAGCUUGGGGCUUAACUCCAGGUCUGCAUUCGAUACGGGCUGGCUAGAGGUAGGUAGGGGAGAACGGAAUUCCU